rnacentral:rRNA from 1 species
UACAGAGGAGCCAAGCGUUGUCCGGAUUGACUGGGCGUAAAGCGCACGCAGGCGGUCGGGCGCGUGGGGUGUGAAAUCUGGCCGCUUAACGGCCAGGCGCCAUCCCAUACGGCACGACUGGAGUGAUGCAGAGGUCGAUGGAAUUGCCGGUGUAGUGGUGAAAUGCGCAGAUAUCGGGAGGAACACCGGUGGCGAAGGCGGUUCUCUGGGCCUUACCUGACGCUGAGGAGCGAAAGCAUGGGGAGCGAACAGG